UUUACCUAGUAAACUGUCUUUAUCUCAACCCACAAGUUCUCACACCUUUGCCCUUCUUAUUUUCUCCCCAGCUCAACUCCAGUGAAGAAAUAGCAGUUUAGCCACCACAUGGAGUUAAAAUGCAGCAUGGAGGAAAUGUCUACUUUCAGGUUUGCACAGGAUAUGGAAAACACUAUUAGAUGGAACUCGAGAAAGGGAAGAGGCAGGAAGGAAAUCUGAAAACCCAAUGGGAGAUGCAAUGUAAUGCAUCUGUAUUCACACGCAGUAGAUGAACUCUAAAUAUUUUCAUCACUGGGGAAGAGACUCAAAAAUAUUAACAAAAGCAGAGUCUUGAUCAAAGUUGCUGUUUAGUGUAUUGAUUUUCACAAGUAUUAAACCUUAGUAUGUCUUCUAAAUUCAGUGGGAACUGAUAGUCAUCAAAUUAUUUGUGAAUAAUUCAUAUGUGUAUGUGCAGAAGAAAAUAUUUUUUAUGUGUAAAUACAUUGUUUGCACUUGAAGUUUCUAUUGAAAUCAAUGGACAGAUUUAUUAAGAUUUGUCAGCCUAUGUAUGGCC
rnacentral:lncRNA from 1 species